rnacentral:lncRNA from 1 species
GAGAAUUCAGCCUUAUAUUUUGAUACUCAAUUGUUCUCAUGUAUUUGUUGAUACCAGAUCUUCAGGAUUGUUGUAGUAGUGUUGUUGUCAUUUUCUUCGAUCAUUUUACUAUAUCUUUGUGGUUAAGCUCAUUAAACUAUGUUCAUCUAAAUCCAUUUCUAUUGUAUUACUGUUGGCUUUUUUAGAAAGUAGUGCUAGGUGCUGUCGCAACUCCGAUUUGAGUUGGGUCGUGACAAGUUUGUAUCUAAGCACAAGGUUUCUUAGGUCUCACGAGUCAUGAGCAAGCU